UACGUAGGGCGCAAGCGUUAUCCGGAAUUAUUGGGCGUAAAGAGCUCGUAGGCGGUUUGUCGCGUCUGCCGUGAAAGUCCGGGGCUCAACUCCGGAUCUGCGGUGGGUACGGGCAGACUAGAGUGAUGUAGGGGAGACUGGAAUUCCCGGUGUAGCGGUGAAAUGCGCAGAUAUCAGGAGGAACACCGAUGGCGAAGGCGGGUCUCUGGGCAAUUCCUGACGCUGAGGCGCGAAAGCGUGGGGAGCAAACGGG
rnacentral:rRNA from 1 species